AAUAAUUUAGACAGAGAAUAUCCUACAAAGUAUCCGGAAUCAGUUGAGAAGUCAACAUGCUCUUUUGAAAAAAUUGAAAUUUUAAAAGCUACCCACUCAAAGUUCACUUCAUGUCUUGAUGAUUCUCCAAAACCCAUUUCAAUCACUCUUCUCUCAAAUGCAUUCAACUCUUCAUCAAGUAUGGAAUCUUUGCUGCUGACAAAGUUAUGGAAGCAUGAAAAGAAGAAACCUUUUUAUUUAUUUAUUUACUUUUAUUGAACUUAUUCAUUCAUUUUGACUAUCAUUUCAUAUUUUAUCAUAUUAAAUUCUACUCUACCUUCCUGGAGUUCAUUCUCCGAGGAACUCUGUUUAAAUUAUUCUGCUGAAAUCAUAUAAAGACAAUUCUUAUUUAGUAUAGCUAUUUACACAAUAAUUUGAUGAUUAAGAAGCAUCUUGUCGAGUGUUAGGUCUAAAUGGGUUUUCUAUUGGUUCAAAUUCGCGUUUAGGAGCAUCAUUUUUUUAUGUUGAAUUAGGUGCAUUCUGCUAUGUUAAUUGGAAUGUUGGUAUGAUACUUUGAUGAAGCUACCCUUGUCAUAGAAAAAAUUAUCUCCUCAAAAUACUAAGAAAUGGGAAUGGAAACCAUUUUUUUUACUUCAUGUUGAGGGUGAAGAAUAUGGCAUUAACAAAGAAUCAGUCAGUCGCAUGACAUGAAGAGAAAUGGUGGUUUAAUUUUCAAUAGCCAGUUAUCGAACUUAUUUCCUCCAGCACUAAAGUUGGAUAAAAUUUUACCCAAUUGUUUGAUCCCCCUGAUAAUGCAAUGCUUGAUUUACCUUCCGCAUCAAGUCUGUCUUCUUCUUUGAAUCACCACUUUAUCUCAGUCUCAAUGUUGAAUCUUCAACUACGGAAUUUUCUCAUGAACUCAAUUAAGCUAAAAGAAUAUGAAGUACAGACUCAAUGGAAUGAAAUUGCCACAAAAAUGAUGAAAGGGGGUACAUGCAUUACCUGUAACCAGAAUGCUGAAACGGGGACAUCGUAGGUCUGUAGUUUGUCCCAAACAUCUCGUACAAGAUCUGUGCCACCCUGCAUUCCAACCACGGCACCAGAUAUAAUCCACUCAGGAAGCUCUGGUGGUCUUCCGAUGACUUCUGUGAAUUGUUCAAUAAACUCCAAAGCUGCUACAACAGCUGUUCGCUUUAAAAGAUGCCCAGACCAACCAAGUUGACGCCUCCUAAACUGGCUCAGCCUCCGCGAAAAGCCCUGCUAAUGCCGCAGAGACAAAGGCUUGUCCAGGGAUGGUAGACCAUAUGGGUCUGUUGGGCUGAGAUUGAUGAGAAAUUGAGAGAGACCCACCAUUCUUGGAUUGCCAAGUUAACUGAAAAUUCUUCCCAAUGCAAAAGAUUUUUUGUGAAGGGAGUGUUGGGGGAUUGAAAGAUAGAGUUCCUUGAAUACAAGGGAGAGAUCUUGGAUUUGAAGGGAAGGGGUUGUUGAGAUGUUUGUGGUGCUUUUUUGUGAUUUUGAGAGUUUCCAUUUUGGAUACAAGAGAGAGCUCAUGGAGUCAUGGGUAUAUAUAUAUAUAUGUUCAUAUAUCAAUAUUUUUUCAUUGAAAAAGUGUAUAUAUAUAUUGACGGUGGUAUGUGGGGAAAAGAAAAGAUAAGAAACUUCUUGCAUGAAAAUGCCUGUUGUUAUCGGCACUGGUGAUAGAGAUGGUUUUGAAAGAUUGGUUUCGAACUUGGAACAAUGAAUUUGUUUAAGCGGUUGUACUAAAUUGACCAAGUUGCCCUCAUUAAUUAACAUUUAUAAAACGGAGUGUAUUUUAUGAAUAA